UGAUAAUUACUUUGAUUACUUUACUAACCCUUGCCCAGUGACUAGGACCGUUGUCAUUUGUGUUGCCAUAAACUUCCAGGAAUUGUGUUUAGGUAGAAGAUGGUGUACGUUUCUUUACGCUGUAGCUUCUGGUUUUGCUUUAUUGUCUGUGAUGAUUCUACAUAUGACGGGUAACCUUCAGUCUAUUCCCACCAUGGUAACGGGACUAUGUAUGUUUGGUAAACUGGGAGUGACGGCUUCUUUUUCUCUCAUCAGUGUAAUGGCUAUAGAGAUGUAUCCUACAGUUAUCAGAUGUAUGGGAACUGCUAUAGGUGUAGCUUUUACCGCAGCUGGUUCAAUAUUGUCUAGACAGUUUAAAUUCCUGGAUGCGUUUCAUUAUACAAUACCAUUUGUUGUCUUUGGUGGAUUUAUUAUUACAGUUGGUUUUAGUGCGCUAAUAUUACCCGAAACAAUAGGAAAACCCCUUCCUAAUAUAUUACCUUGUCGUCAUCGUAAAAUACCACUAACUGAAGGUGCCCGUUUAUUUAAUCCCUGGGAAAGUGUGUAGAAUACAUCAAAGACUGUUUUUAUAUACAACGAUAUUUUAUCAGAUUUUGAUUACUCAGAUGUUCUUUAGCUUGACAUUAGAAUUUAACAUACUCGUAAUCUUAUGUCUUGAUAUGAGACCUAUUUUAUAUAAUGCUGUUUUGUGAUAUACAUCGUCGUUUUUCUUGAUGUCACCAUCAACAGUUAUUGUAGUGAGAGCGAAAGCAAUAGUUAUUGUUUAUAAAGGACAAACAGGAUUUCCGUCCAGAAGAAAUAAAGACUAAUGACGAACAAAGAUAAUUUAAAUUUGUAGAUUUUGUGCAUAAAAUACAUGUACUUAAUCGGAAACCAAAUUAUUUUCCCUACCGGGAGUUUAAAUGAUACGAUUUUAGUUGUGUAACAGGGAGGGGGUGGGAUUUUGCUCGUGUACCUUUACACCUUUCUGUGUCCUAUGUACUUCCCUUUAAGAACAGACUACAUCUGCUUUUGGCAAAGAAAACAGAUAAUGGCGCUCAAGGAUGUGAUCAACCCUUUGUUAAUAAUUUGUGUAUUUGAAGUAUUAUGUUAUAUUAUGAAGUACCUGUGUGUUAUCUAAACAUCUUGAUAAGCCCGCGAAGGCGCCUGAAACACGCUGUGGCGUUCUGGGGCUUUUUGUUUUAGUUUUUUAAAAAUUUACUAGUAUUAAGAUAUUGGAACAUAACGAUAAAUAUAUAUAUACCUUACGGAUUAUUUGUGUUGAUCGUAUGUUAAUUAUACUUUUAUAAGUAUAAAGAUCGGUUGACGGGUAAUGAAACACACGUACACCAAAGCUGUUGUAUGAGCAGUCCGUAAAGGUUGUCGCGUGUAACUAAAAGGCAAAACCUACAAAUUUUAUUUACUGCAUAUCACUGGAUGGAAGCAAACAUUAAGCUAUCUGCUACUACUACUACUGCUGCUUACUACUACA